UACGAACCGUGCGAACGUUGUUCGGAAUCACUGGGCUUAAAGGGCGCGUAGGCGGCUUGCCAAGUCAGUGGUGAAAUCCCACAGCUUAACUGUGGAAGUGCCUUUGAUACUGGCGAGCUCGAGGGAGGUAGGGGUAUGUGGAACUUCUGGUGGAGCGGUGAAAUGCGUUGAUAUCAGAAGGAACGCCGGUGGCGAAAGCGACGUACUGGACCUCUUCUGACGCUGAGGCGCGAAAGCUAGGGGAGCAAACGGG
rnacentral:rRNA from 1 species